rnacentral:lncRNA from 1 species
GGAGUUGAUCUCUGUCUGGUGUCUGUCCUACUUCUUCCAUUCGCUCGUUUCCAUCCCUUUCGCUUUACCUUCCGAUUCUAGAAAUACAAACAAGUAAACAGCUUCCACAGUACCAUCCACCCAUCAAGACCUAAAGUCCUAAAUCCUGAAAUUGUCCGCUGUUUCUCGAGGUCCUUCCCACCGAAUCUCAACAUCUGAACUGCAAGUGGUUUGCUUUUACUCAUUUUACAGAUGAGAAACUGAGAUAGACUCAGAGAAGAGAAAUUAUUAAAAUUGCAUUGAGUUAGGGAGCUGGAACUGCAAUCUGGUUGACUACAAGUUGCUAAUACAUUUGUUAAUUCGACUCACAUGGUGAUUCCGGAUUGUAAAUUGGUGACAGUUUUACCAAACUAGAUAAUGUGUGCAAAAUAAUAAUAAUAAUAAUAAUAAUAAUAAUUUUUAAAAGCUUUGUGAAACAUCGUCUCCUGGCACUUGCUGUUUGGCAAGGGUUUACUUGUGCAGAGUGAUUUCUUCAAACACAAUUCUGACUUUUCUCUAGAAAUUUGCACAGAUGACAAAUAUGCUUAAAAUUGCAAUGGUUAUGAAAAGAGAGGUGUGACCGGCUAAAUCCAGGUAGGCUUUUCUCAAACCACUGGGGUCUGAGAAAACAUUAGACAUUCUAUUUAAUCCACAUAUUUAUAUUUUUCAUAGGUAUUAAAAUGAAACUUAUGCUUCUAAACUAAGAAAUUUAUUGUUACCUUUUAUUCUCUACUAAGCAGUCUUUCUUGAAUUGUUGUAUUUUGGAAGUCAGUAAUUAUCAGGAUUGUCAUUGUUACAGUUAAGUGUAUUGUCAUUAGUCUAUUUGUGUUCUCCUGGAACUGCCGGUAGAAAUGUAAUCUCCCUAAAGGUCCUAAUGAAGCAGCCCAUGGUUUCUGAGUGUCAAAUUUUUAAGAACGCACAUGCCGACAAUUGACAAUUGGGCUCAAUAUUUCACAGCGUCUUUUUGUUUUCUGGUACACUGUAAGCAGAUUACUAUGUAAGUGAUUUUCAACCCUACUAGAGAAAGUGAAGCACAGAGAAACCCUUUAAAAGGGUCAGUUUCACAAAUGAUGCUAGAUCUCAGUUCAUAGAUCCUUAUCUUUUACUCUCUAGCAUAUAGUCAGAUGUUCUAAAUAAACUUUUUUAAAGAAUAGUUUUCGAUUUACAGAAAAGUCACAAAAAUAGUAGACAGUUCCCAUAUACCCAGUUUCUCUAUUGUGUGAGAUGUUGACAUUUGUUUUAGUGUAAGAUGAUACAUUUGUUACAACUAAGGAAUCAACAAUGGUACAUUACUAUUAAAUAAACUCCACAGUUUAUUUGGAUUUCAGUAGUUUUCCCUUAAUGUUAUUUCUCUAUUCCAGGAUCUCACUUAGGGUACCACAUAACAUUCGGUUAUCAUGUCUCCUUCACCUCCUCUGACACUGUGGCAGUUUUUUAGACAUUCCUUGUUUAUGAUGACCUUGACAGUGUUGAAAAGUGCUGGUCAAGUAUUUUGUAGAAUAUCUGAGAAGUUCUUAAAAAUAGAGAUGUCCCAAUUCCAGCCCUAGAAAUAUUGACUUAAAUUGUUUGAGGUAGGACUGGGGCAUCGGUUUUGUUUUUUUAAGUGUCUCAGGUGAUUCUGAUGGGUAGCCAGGAUUAAUCACCCACUACAUUGAGUUCUAGUCAUGUAUCUAUUGAGAUUAUUGCCAACUUCCUACAGAGAAACACUAUUUACAUAAGUGGGGAAAUAAACAUGCCAAUAAACAUAUAAAUAAAUGUGGAACAAAUGAGGCAUUAAAAUAUUUUAGUAGCAUAUAAUGUGUGUUAACUUCUUUCAGAAGGCUGUUUUUUUCCUCUCACAAAAGUCAAAUGAAUGAGGAAAAUUGUAGGAUAUUUAGUAAAUUACAGGAUGUUAAAC